AACUGCAGAUCUUCUCUCUGAGGGCGCCCAAGUGGGAGAGAUUACGACGGAGCUCUCCAAGACCGCAUGAAGCUCACGAAGGAGGUAGACAUGAAAUGGUAAAGGUCCUGCUGCUCUGCUUCGCCAUCGUCGUCCAACACGAGCAAGAACAGAGGGAGAGCAAGAACCACCAACAGAACCCAUAUUAGCCGGAACAACUAAACCCAUCGACCGUAAUCAAUUUCGUGGCUGCGCGGAAAAUGGACCGAGGUUAAAAUCACCGGCAAAAUGUUGAAACUGCAUAUGAAACAUACGACGAAACGGAGGAUGAAGCAGACGUGUCUCUCAAUCAGCCCUCGCGCAAACUGGUUGUUCCUAGAUGUAUACCUUUAUAUUUAUGUACAAAGCAAGACAGCAGCCUGGAAAGAAAACACACAAAAAGAAGAAGUAGAAGAAGCAGUACAUGAAGAAAACGAGUAAACAAUGACGAAGGAGGAGGAGGAAGAUUAGGAGUGAGAGAAGGAGGAAUUAAUAUUCCUCCUCACAACCCACUUGUAGCUUUAAGUGACUGAAACUAAACAACGCAAGCGAAAAUAAGUUCCAGCCAAUAAUCGUGCCUAUCUUCUUGAACUUCAAUGAGAUACAUUUAGUCUACUUUUGCUGAGGCGAAGAUAAGUUCCAGCCAAUAACCGUGCCUAUCUUCUUGAACUUCAAUGAGAUACAUUUAGUUUACUUAGCUGAAACUGAACUAAACAGUGAACAGAAAUUAGGGGAACUUUUAUUUUUAGAAAGUUUUUCUGUAUGCACCAUAGUUUUAUAUGGACAUAUUAUAACUGAUAUGAUUUACACGCUGUAUAUAUUCAUAUACUCUGUAUGCCCAACAUAUAGAUAUAUAUAUAAACACAAAAAUGCAUUUGUAUAAAAGGUAGACACAUAUGACGCUCAUGUGUGCAUGUAUGAGCAAAUACAUAUCAAUGCAUGUUUGGGAACAAAUGUGCGUGUAUUAGUGUAUACAUGCGGAUAAUACACACACAAGCAUGUAAUGUACAAGGCCCGUAUGAAAUAGUGUAGAUAUUUUUUAAUAUUAAUUGAUAUAGAUUCCCCAACACUUAUACAAAAUUUUAUAUCUUGAAAAAGACAUUAACAAAUACAUUACAACGUAAAGUAUUUAGGUGCUCAUAUAUUUAUAUGCAUACAAUGCGCACACACGAACACAUCCACGCAAAAGCGGACACACACACACACACACACACACUUCAUGUUAUACAUACAUAUAUAUAUAUAUAUAUAUAUAUAUAUAUAUAUAUAUAUAUACACAUACAUAUAUGCAUACAUUACUACAGCUUCUACUAAUAACAUUAGUAUAACAAAACUCAGGAGAUGGUAACCAUACUUCUGUAGCAGACAAGGUAAAACAUCAGAAUUCGUUUGCGCAUGUUAUUAUGCCUGCAAAGAUUCUCACCAAGGUAACUGCAUAAAAAGAAACCACAAACACUCACACACCCACACACAAACAAAGGUUCACGAUUUUCCACCAGAACAGGAAAGGAACUGAUCCAUAAAAACUUAAGACAUAGGUUUGUACCCUAGGGUACCAUGACUAAAACUUAAGACAUAGGUUUGUACCCUAGGGUACCAUGACUAAAAUUUAAGAUAUAGGUUUGUACCCUAGGGUACCAUGACUAAAACUUAAGACAUAGGUUUGUAUCCUACGGUACCAUGGCUACCAUAAUACCAUGCGCAAAUAAUGUCCAGUUUUACUGCCAGUAGUAUGCUAACAGAACUAAAAAAUAAGAAAAAUAAAAAAAAUAAAAAAGUAUAUCUUAAAAAAAUCUAUUAGAUAAAUUCCAAAUUUAAUAUUUUUGUAGCUAAUGACCUGUAUGUUUUAUAUCACUUUUGAAUAAUGAGAUGAUUUAAGAUGAUUUAUAUUGUUGGAGCUUGUAGGAAAUAAAAGAUUUUAACUUUUCAAGAAA